UACGAGGGGGGCAAGCGUUGUUCGGAAUUAUUGGGCGUAAAGGGUGCGUAGGCUGUGCGGUAAGUCACCUGUGAAAUCUCUGGGCUCAACCCAGAGACUGCAGGCGAAACUGCAGUGCUGGAGUAUGGGAGAGGUGCGUGGAAUUCCUGGUGUAGCGGUGAAAUGCGUAGAUAUCAGGAGGAACACCUGUGGUGUAGACAGCUUACUGGACCACUUCUGACGCUGAGACACGAAAGCGUGGGUAGCAAACAGG
rnacentral:rRNA from 1 species